rnacentral:rRNA from 1 species
UACGGGGGGUGCAAGCGUUACUCGGAAUCACUGGGCGUAAAGGGUGCGUAGGUGGAUUGUCAAGUCUUUUGUGAAAUCUAAUGGCUUAACCAUUAAACUGCUUGGGAAACUGACAAUCUAGAGUGAGGGAGAGGUAGAUGGAAUUCUUGGUGUAGGGGUAAAAUCCGUAGAGAUCAAGAAGAAUACCCAUUGCGAAAGCGAUCUACUAGAACUCAACUGACACUGAGGCACGAAAGCGUGGGGAGCAAAC